AGCAAACCCUGGUGACUCUACGUUUGAAGAAUCCAUGACAGGCACUGAAAGUCUUUGCAUUUCCAGAAAAAGCAUGGAAAAAAGCAGAUCAUCUGCUAAGCGUGAGGAGGAGGAAGGCUGAUAAACGGCACAACGGAGCAGACUGUGGAUAACUGGAGCAGCCGGAGGGAGGGACAGGAAAAAAAUAAGUGACCUGUUGUCUAUAAAAGCUUGCAUGCACGCAGGAACAGAAAAAAAAGAUGGGAUGGGGGUGGGGAGCUUUGAGGGGAACACACUGGAACAUCAGUCGGAAAACACGGGAAGCAUUCGUCUGAGUCUGCGGCUCUGAAACAGCCGUAAAGCUCGGACUGCCACUGAAAUCAAACCCUGUGAGGAACUGUGCUAAUGUGGACAGGAGAGGACACAUACAGGAAGCUGUACUGAUUCGGCUGGAUCGAUGCCCUGAAGAGAAGUGUUGAUUCUGAGAGAUUUAGGGAAUGUUCCUGAAAAAGUGAGGGGAAGGAACACGGAAUGUUUCAAUCUGCCUCCCACACAGGCUGCAUGUGCUGUCAACACCACGGCUCAGGCAGAAAGCAGAAGCGUGGUCAGAGGAUCUCUGACAGCAGGAAAUGAACUACAUCCUACUGGACUCACAGUUACCGUUAGAAGCAACGUGUGUCCUUUGGCCUAGAAAGUAAGAGACAAAUAAAAGAGUUUGUACAGUUGUGGUCAAAAGUUUACAUCCACAUAAAGAUCACAAUGUCGUGGCUGUCUUGAUUUUCAAGUUAUUUCUACAACUCUGAUUUUCUCUGAUAGAGAGAUUGGAACAGAUACUUUAAUGUCCCAAAAACAAUCAUGCAGUUUGGUUGUUUUAUGACUUUAUUGUGGGUCAAAUGAAAAUGUGACUAAAUCUGAUGGGUCAAAAAUAUACACAGCAACAUGAAAUAGCAAUUUUGGAGACUUAGAAUGUUGUUUCAAUGAAAUGAGCUCCAUAUUAUGACCUCUUAACUUAUUGUGAGUCAUUAUGAGUGACUUCCACUGGUGGCUUAUCUGAGGUCAUUUGAAUAGGACUCAUUGGAACCACACACCCACAAAUGCUACAAUGGGAAAGUCAAAGGAGCUCCGCACAGAUCUGAAAAAGCAAGUCAUAACUCGAACAAGUCAGCUAAGUCACUUGGAGUUUUCAAAACAGCUACAAGUCCCAAGAGCAACAUUUACCCUGUUGUUCUAUUUUUACUGCUGAUGCGUUAUCAGGUCGUCGUUGUAAAUGAGAAAUUGUUCUGAAUCGACCAACCUGUAUAAAUAAAGGUUCUAAAAGAUCACUGGGAACAUUUUUAUAAUAGACAAAUAUAUGUUUGGAAUGCGACUUUAAGCAUCUCUGGUGACAUCUCCAGUGUUCAAUGGUCAAUGUUUUUUCAAUAACAUCUUUUGACGUCUGUGCAGACAGCAAAUCGUAUCGUUGGAUAAACUUUUAGUCUUUUAUAAGACUACAAAACUAACUGGCUUCAAUUGUGUUUUUAUUCAAGGUAGAAUUGUGUCUGCAGCAGAGGUUUUAAUGGUUUUAGCAGCAGGAAUCAGUUUAUUCAUGAGCCCACUUCUGUAAAAACAUUACAAAGGUGACGUGAAGCUCUGGUCUGACAAAAUGACUCACAGUUUUCCAGGAAAAAAGAACAUAAAACAACAGGAGCUGAAGUGUUUAUGAUGUGCUUGUUUUCAUUGGUUUUUGUUAUUGCAUUACCAGAAAUGUGACACCAAACCGUUGGGGAGAAAAAGGCAAAUCUGCAGCCAACACGUCCGGUCCUUUAUUUUAUAUAUGCAAUAAUUAGGCUUUAAAGUGUGUGAACUACUUAAUCUAAAAUAAGUCUGAAUCUGAAUCACUUCCCAACCCCUCCGACUCCUCCUUAUUGUUCCAAAUGUAGGGCUGUUUGAAGCUGUAGUGGUGUCUGAAAGUGUUUUUUAAAGAGGAACCAUAGGGACGUAGAGCUGGCUGCCCACCGCCGGUGCGGUGAUGUCUCCACAUCGGUGUGCUCUGAAGUACCUGAAGGUCGCAUUCAAAUGUAAUUAUUGACUUUUUGUUUUUACAUAACUUUUUCAAGUUAUAAAACCAAUGUAUUUUCCAAUCGCUGGCAGCUCUACACAAAAGUAGAAGACUGGUGAUUAUUGAUGACAUCAUCAAGCUGUAGCAACGUCAGAAUAUGGAGACACUAUUUUGUCCAUCUUCUGCGCUUGGAGAUAUAAAUGUAGGGAUAGGCAGAAGCUGUAGGGUCGAAAGAAUACCAUUUUUGAUUGAAAAAAAGAAACAUUUUAGGAGUAAAAUUUUUAAAUCCUAUAAGUUCUAACGCAUAUAAACUCUUUGUCUUAAGACCCAGACUUUCUUCUACAAAAUGUUAAAUAAUUGAUGCCAAAUCAGGAAAAAAUGUUUUUUCUUGUCAAACUGGUCGAAUUAACUUUAAAACCAACGCGGUCCUAUACAUGUAUGACUAAUACCAUGACAGAAGAACCAAUUCUAUUUCAUUCUUCCUGAGAAAUCUCAAUAAAAGCAAAAACAUGACGCUGCGCUCCUUUACACAUCUGCAAACUCUAAAAGAGCGGCUUUAAACCCUGAGGAUCACUAACAGUUUGAAGUUGACUUAACAGGUCUAAGCAGUGCUGUGGAGUGCCUGGAAAAACCAUCAUCUUACUUUAUGAUGGAUGGCCAGUUCCAGGUUUGUGACCAGUUCCAGGUUCAUGACCAGUUCCAGGUUCGUCACCUGUUCCAGGUUCAUGACCAGUUCCAGGUUCAUGACAUGACUGGCCGUUUCAGAUGGAAACUCAGCAGAUUGAAUGGAAUGACUUGGACGCGCUUCCUACAAAUAUGUCUGAUCGAUCAAUUCCGUCACUGCUUCGAAGAAGACGUAAAGCAUAAAAGGAUUUGUUUUUUUCCACAAAACCAGAUGUUUUUACUGGCACAAUCGCAGAGGAACAUCUUGUGUCCCGGAGACAUGAAGACAAUGCUCAUCAACUGAUCCACCAAGACCACAGCAAGUUUUUUUUUUCCUUUUAGCAUUUCCCUAAAGGGUCACAACAGGAGACGACAUCAGGAUUUCACUCCCGUUUUUUCCUUCCUGACCCAACCCACUGCGUUCACCUCAACUUGGGACCAGGACGGGAAACACUGGGCAGUGCCUCCAUGUGGCUGCAGUAACUUAUAGCACUUGUUAUUCCCUGCAGUCUCACAAUAAUUCAGGGGUUUAUUGGACCCAAACACUAGUUAGAUUCUGACGAGUUUGGGGGUCUACAUCCAUGCCACAGGUAGAGCAGGUAUUGAGCAAGAACAGUACUCUACCGUGCCCAAGAUCCAGUACAAUAGUCUACCCAUCUAAGCGACCCACCAGGCCCAGCUAGUGACACAGUCAUGCCACAGGUAGAGCACCUGGGAGUUCUGAGCCCCCACCACAAACCAGGGCCACCCAAGAAAAGCCCACCUUGGACUCCAGGCAGACCACCAACCUGACCCUCUAAGACUCCAGCAGAGAACAGAGGCAGUACAAAAAGUGUCAAUCUUAGCCAACCCCCAAAGUCCAGCACAAGGCACCACCCACACAAGCAUCCCACAGCCCCAAACGUGGCACAAGCCACUGCCCAGCUGUUGUAAGUAUUGGCCAACUCCAGACCCACACCAAGACCCCCAAGAAACCCCAACAUAGGACUUCAGCAGAUCACAAGGGCUGUGGAGAUGAGAUUGGACAAUCUCAUCAGAAAAUAAGAAGUGCUUGGCCUGGUGGGACACUCAUGUGUGGACUAUUGUACUGGAUCUUGUGUUGUUGAGGCGGUGAAAGUAUCUGCCAUGAAAUACAGCAGGAGAAACAGUCCGACAUGUUUUAUUGACCACUUCAAUGAAAACACCUGAUAUACACCUGAGGUUAUUUUUUAUUUGAAUCCAUUUGAAGUGAGAUAAAAACUUCUCACAAGAUCCCAAACUUCACUUAUGAAGAACUCAACCAGCAGAACCUAAGUGCUCUUUGCCAGCACAUGAUGAUGAUGAGAAUCCACCAAUAAAAAAGGCUUUAAUGAGGAUCAGAUUCAAUACGGCUGACAAC